UCACGUUCCAUCUACCUUAUCCUGAAAUCAAACCUUAAUAGCAUGAAAUCUCUUAAGCAUCAUACAUAUGUAAACACUAAUAGCCAGACAAUUUAAUUUCGAAUUGAAUCGGAUGUGUAACGUCUCCCUCCAUUACUAUCGGCCAUCAAAGCUUUACAGAACUUAUGACACCCAAACUCUUCACCUCCCAUCAAACUCGAGCUAUAUAUACUCACAUGAAAGGGAAAAAUUUUCUCUUCCCAAAUCCCCUUACAAAUAACCAAUCGCACACACCGCUUCAACGGAUACGAAACAUGAGAUUUACGUGACACCGGUCCGGCGAAACCAAACACCAAAACUCAGCCGAAAUACACCACCUCUUUACAUGGAGACGAUUCGGUGAAAUUGAGUGAUGGCGAAAUCGACCACUGAUUUAAUGGAAAAAGCUGCUCUGCAAAUCACAGCUCCGGCGAAAGUGGUGCCGAAUUCACGGGCUGUUUUGUUCUCCAAGGCGAAUAAAGCUCUGAAGAACAUAAAGAUGAUUUCUGCUUUGGCUGCUAGCUGUUAUAGAUUGAACUGGUACGAAAUCUUGCAGAUUUAUAGCUAACCGCUUACUUUUCUGAGUUUCCUGCCAAGGUCUAAAUGAAGAUAGGGAGAUGAAAUGGCCAGACAAGAAAACUCAUUUCUCCACCUUCCACUGAAUGGAUGCAUCAUACAAAACAGAGGAUUCUUCUAUUCUCAAAGAUUCCCGAGACAGUGUUGUAUCCUAAGGGAUGUUUGUUUUUCUUUUGUUGCCUUCUCCACCAUGAGCUCAUGCAGGGUUCAAGAGUCCAAAAUUACAAUCAG